rnacentral:rRNA from 1 species
CCUACGGGAGGCAGCAGUGAGGAAUAUUGGUCAAUGGACGGAAGCCUGAACCAGCCAUGCCGCGUGCAGGAUGACGGCUCUAUGAGUUGUAAACUGCUUUUGUACAAGGGUAAACCUGGAUACGUGUAUUCAGCUGAAAGUACUGUACGAAUAAGGAUCGGCUAACUCCGUGCCAGCAGCCGCGGUAAUACGGAGGAUCCAAGCGUUAUCCGGAUUUAUUGGGUUUAAAGGGUGCGUAGGUGGAUUGUUAAGUUAGAGGUGAAAUGUCAGGGCUUAACUGUGGAACUGCCAUUGAUACUGGUGAUCGAGAGAGUAGAUGCGGUAGGCGGAAUGUGUGGUGUAGCGGUGAAAUGCUUAGAGAUCAUGCAGAACACCGAUUGCGAAGGCAGCUUACCAGUCUAUAUCUGACGUUGAGGCACGAAAGCGUGGGGAGCAAACAGGAUUAGAUACCCCUGUAGUC